rnacentral:rRNA from 1 species
GACGAACGCUGGCGGCGUGCUUAACACAUGCAAGUCGAACGGAAAGGCCCUGCUUGCAGGGUGCUCGAGUGGCGAACGGGUGAGUAACACGUGGGUGAUCUGCCCCUUACUUUGGGAUAAGCCUGGGAAACUGGGUCUAAUACUGGAUAGGACCAUGCUGUAGGUGGUGUGGUGGAAAGAUUAGUUUCGGUAAGGGGUGAGCUCGCGGCCUAUCAGCUGGUUGGUGGGGUAAUGGCCUACCAAGGCGUCGACGGGUAGCCGGCCUGAGAGGGUGGACGGCCACAUUGGGACUGAGAUACGGCCCAGACUCCUACGGGAGGCAGCAGUGGGGAAUAUUGCACAAUGGGCGCAAGCCUGAUGCAGCGACGCCGCGUGGGGGAUGACGGCCUUCGGGUUGUAAACUCCUUUCAGCCAUGACGAAGCCCUUGUGGUGACGGUAGUGGUAGAAGAAGCACCGGCUAACUACGUG